AACGAACGCUGGCGGCAUGCCUAACACAUGCAAGUCGAACGAGACCUUCGGGUCUAGUGGCGCAAGGGUGCGUAACGCGUGGGAACCUGCCCUUAGGUUCGGAAUAACUCCCCGAAAGGGGUGCUAAUACCGGAUAAUGUCUUCGGACCAAAGAUUUAUCGCCUUUGGAUGGGCCCGCGUUGGAUUAGCUAGUUGGUAGGGUAAAAGCCUACCAAGGCGACGAUCCAUAGCUGGUCUGAGAGGAUGAUCAGCCACACUGAGACUGAGACACGGCCCAGACUCCUACGGGAGGCAGCAGUGGGGAAUAUAGGACAAUGGGCGAAAGCCUGAUCCAGCAAGGCCGCGUGAGUGAUGAAGGCCUUAGGGUUGUAAAGCUCUUUUACCCGGGAUGAUAAUGACAGUACCGGGAGAAUAAGCUCCGGCUAACUCCGUG
rnacentral:rRNA from 1 species